GACGAACGCUGGCGGCGUGCCUAAUACAUGCAAGUCGAGCGAAGUUUUUCUGGUGCUUGCACUAGAAAAACUUAGCGGCGAACGGGUGAGUAACACGUAAAGAACCUGCCUCAUAGACUGGGACAACUAUUGGAAACGAUAGCUAAUACCGGAUAACAGCAUUAACUGCAUGGUUGAUGUUUAAAAGUUGGUUUUGCUAACACUAUGAGAUGGCUUUGCGGUGCAUUAGCUAGUUGGUGGGGUAAAGGCCUACCAAGGCGACGAUGCAUAGCCGACCUGAGAGGGUGAUCGGCCACACUGGGACUGAGACACGGCCCAGACUCCUACGGGAGGCAGCAGUAGGGAAUCUUCCGCAAUGGGCGAAAGCCUGACGGAGCAACGCCGCGUGAGUGAAGAAGGAUUUCGGUUCGUAAAGCUCUGUUGUUAGGGAAGAAUGAUUGUGUAGUAACUAUACACAGUAGAGACGGUACCUAACCAGAAAGCCACGGCUAACUACGUGCCAGCAGCCGCGGUAAUACGUAGGUCCCGAGCGUUAUCCGGAUUUAUUGGGCGUAAAGCGAGCGCAGGCGGUUAGAUAAGUCUGAAGUUAAAGGCUGUGGCUUAACCAUAGUACGCUUUGGAAACUGUUUAACUUGAGUGCAAGAGGGGAGAGUGGAAUUCCAUGUGUAGCGGUGAAAUGCGUAGAUAUAUGGAGGAACACCGGUGGCGAAAGCGGCUCUCUGGCUUGUAACUGACGCUGAGGCUCGAAAGCGUGGGGAGCAAACAGG
rnacentral:rRNA from 1 species